UACGUAGGGGGCAAGCGUUGUCCGGAUUUAUUGGGCGUAAAGAGCGUGUAGGCGGUUUGGUAGGUCCGUUGUGAAAACUCGAGGCUCAACCUCGAGACGCCGAUGGAAACCAUCAGACUAGAGUCCGGAAGAGGAGAGUGGAAUUCCUGGUGUAGCGGUGAAAUGCGCAGAUAUCAGGAAGAACACCCGUGGCUAAGGCGGCUCUCUAGUACGUGACUGACGCUGAGACGCGAAAGCGUGGGGAGCGAACAGG
rnacentral:rRNA from 1 species